CUACGCUGCGAUAAGCCGUGGGGAGCUGCGAAGAAGCUUUGAUCCGCGGAUUUCCGAAUGGGGAAACCCACCUUCGAUAGCCGGAACUCCAAGACCUUGUGUUUUGGGGUUCGACCAGAAAUGGAAGAAAUCAGACCGCGAGGUUUUGGAUUUCCGGUUAUCAAGAGAAGGUAUGAGACUUCCGAAUUAAAUAGGAGGUUUUAAGCAAACCCAGGGAACUGAAACAUCUAAGUACCUGGAGGAAAGGACAUCAAUCGAGACUCCGUUAGUAGUGGCGAGCGAACGCGGACAAGGCCAGUGAUACAUCAAAGACAAUCGGAACCUGUCAGGAAAGCAGGGCCUCAGAGGGUGAUAGCCCCGUACGAGUAAUGCGAUGAUGUAUCCACGAGUAAGGCGGGACACGUGUAAUCCUGUCUGAACACGGGGGGACCACCCUCCAAGCCUAAGUACUCCUCAGCGACCGAUAGU
rnacentral:rRNA from 1 species